GAGGCAAUAACAGGUCUGUGAUGCCCUUAGAUGUCCUGGGCCGCACGCGCGCUACACUGAUGCAGACAAUGGGCAUUCACCUAUUCCGAGAGGGCUGGGUAAUCCUGUGAGGCUGCAUCGUGCUGGGGAUCGAGCACUGGAACUGUGCUCGUGAACAUGGAAUGCCUUGUAAUCGUGAGUCAUCAACUCACGAUGAAUACGUCCCUGCCCUUUGUACACACCGCCCGUCGUUAUUUCCGAUCGAAUGGCUCGGUGAGGCGGUAGGAGCUUCGCGCGCGCCGGCUUGCUGGUCGCGAUGCGAGGCAAACACCUUCGAACUCGGUCAUUUAGAGGAAGU
rnacentral:rRNA from 2 species